UAUAGCGUAGCCUAAAUCGGAUAAGGUGGUCAGACUUUUAAUCUGAAAAUUAUGGGUUAAAGUCCCCGCCAUGA
rnacentral:tRNA from 1 species